rnacentral:rRNA from 1 species
GGGCCCGCACAAGCGGUGGAGGAUGUGGCUUAAUUCGAGGCUACGCGAAGAACCUUAUCCUAGAUUUGACAUGCUUGAGAAUUUCUUCGAAAGAAGAAAGUGCCCCGUCGGGGAGCUUUUGCACAGGUGCUGCAUGGCUGUCGUCAGCUCGUGUCGUGAGAUGUCGGGUUAAGUCCCUUAACGAGCGAAACCCUUAUCUCUAGUUGCCAGCGGGUAAUGCCGGGGACUCUAGAGAGACUGCCGGUGUCAAACCGGAGGAAGGUGGGGAUGACGUCAAGUCCUCAUGGCCUUUAUGUCUAGGGCUGCACACGUCCUACAAUGGUACGGACAAACGGACGCUAAACCGCGAGGUGGAGCAAAUCCUAAAAACCGUGCCUCAGUUCGGAUUGCAGGCUGCAACUCGCCUGCAUGAAGCCGGAAUCGCUAGUAAUCGC